UUAUUUUACUAUUUUGUGUAAUAUUAUUAUUAUAAAUCAUAUAUCUCUAAUGCAUAAAAAAUGAAUAAUGUUGAGAAGGUUAAAUGGAGUACAGAAAAUGUAGUGUUAUUUUUAAAUUUAUGUGGAUGAAGUUAUCGCUGAAAAUCACCCUGGUACUCACUUCAACAAAACUAGAUGGAUUAAUUUGGUGAUAAGAUUCAAUGCUAGAACCGAAAAGAAUUAUGACAAAGUCAAAUUGAAGAAUAAAUGGGAUAAUCUUAAAACCACUUGGAAGAAUGGGACGCUUUAGUUGAAAAGAAAACUAAUUUAGGAUGGGAUAGGGAGAGAAAAAUCAUUCAAGCAAGUGUCGAAUGGUGGGAUAAAAUAAAUAAAGAUGUAGAGAAAUUUAAAGAAAAAGGCUUACAAUAUCGAACUCAGAUGGAGAUAUAUUUUAAGGAUGUUAUUACUACUGGAGAACAUGCGUGGGCACCAUUAUCUGGAUUUUUACAAGAUGGUAUAUAAGGGAGUAGAUGGUUUUAAUCUGAGCAACCAUUUAAGUGUGUGAGAGUGAUACUAGAAGAAAAAAAAAAGUAUCAACAGAAACGAAAAAAACUAAUCCAAGUCAGAAAAUUAGAUCAUCAAUGGAGAGAAUGUUGAUGCUAUUGAAUCACACACUUCAACGGAAUCGACAGAAACUUCACUUAGUAUUAAGAGUGUAAUGACUAUAGUUCGUAAUUUUUCUGGUAUGUUGUUGGUAGUGAUUUAUGGUGAAAAGCGAGUGAUUCACUUGUCAAAUAAUUAAUAAGAGAAAUAUUCUUAGCACAAGAAGAUGCAGAAUUGCAAUUGCAAUGGUUGGAAAGGAAGACCAUGCUUCAUAAGAAUUAGAUUUAUGAUGUUAUUUAUUAUGAUUUGCUAAUAAAACAUAUGCUUUUUUUUCUUUUAA